rnacentral:rRNA from 1 species
ACGGGAGGCAGCAGUGAGGAAUAUUGGUCAAUGGACGGAAGUCUGAACCAGCCAAGUCGCGUGCAGGAAGAAGGCCCUACGGGUCGCAGACUGCUUUUGCCUGGGGAUACACGGGGGCUCGUGAGCCCCUCAGAAGGUACCAGGCGAAUAAGGAUCGGCUAACUCCGUGCCAGCAGCCGCGGUAAUACGGAGGAUCCGAGCGUUAUCCGGAUUCAUUGGGUUUAAAGGGUGCGCAGGCGGGCUGGCCAGUCCGCGGUGAAAGCCCGGCGCUCAACGCCGGCACUGCCGCGGAUACUUCCAGCCUUGAGUCGUCACGAGGGCGGCGGAAUGCGGCGUGUAGCGGUGAAAUGCUUAGAUACGCCGCAGAACACCGAUUGCGAAGGCAGCCGCCCAGAGACGCACUGACGCUGAGGCACGAAGGCAUGGGGAUCGAACAGGAUUAGAUACCCUGGUA